rnacentral:rRNA from 1 species
GACGAACGCUGGCGGCGUGCUUAACACAUGCAAGUCGAACGGAAAGGCCCUGCUUUUGUGGGGUGCUCGAGUGGCGAACGGGUGAGUAACGCGUGAGUAACCUGCCCUUGACUUUGGGAUAACUUCAGGAAACUGGGGCUAAUACCGGAUAGGAGCUCCCGCUGCAUGGUGGGGGUUGGAAAGUUUCGGCGGUUGGGGAUGGACUCGCGGCUUAUCAGCUUGUUGGUGGGGUAGUGGCUUACCAAGGCUUUGACGGGUAGCCGGCCUGAGAGGGUGACCGGCCACAUUGGGACUGAGAUACGGCCCAGACUCCUACGGGAGGCAGCAGUGGGGAAUAUUGCACAAUGGGCGGAAGCCUGAUGCAGCAACGCCGCGUGCGGGAUGACGGCCUUCGGGUUGUAAACCGCUUUCGCCUGUGACGAAGCGUGAGUGACGGUAAUGGGUAAAGAAGCACCGGCUAACUACGUG